rnacentral:lncRNA from 1 species
GUAUAAUUAAUAUGCACCAAUAAAAGCUGUUCAUAUUGUUUAUAACAUUGACUUCUUUUGCACAAAUAACACUUAAAAUAGGAUAACAUUGUCAUUGUGUCUUGGAUUUUUUUGUGUGGUAGCUUAAUGUGAACAUUCAUAAUGAUUAAAAUGAAACUUUCAUUCCUUGAAUGAUGAAGUAUCCCAUCUCCGGUGAAGACACAGAAUAAUAUGACUCUAGGUGUUCAAAGAGAAUAUUAUUCUAGGCACACGAAGCUUUUAAGAAAUCUACUGCUAAAUACAAUAUUUUCAACGAAGUUUUGUGUUUGCUCAUGAUUAAAUAUUUGUUCUCUUUCAGAGUUAACUGACUGCAAAGAAAAUGCAAGCCCUGUCAUCUGUUGCCUGGCCAACACCUGGGUGAUUGGGUGGAGAGCUUAGGUUUGCACUAGGUAAUAUAAUGCCUCACUUGUCUUCGUUGGAUGCAAACUCAAAGAAUCACGCUUUGCUGGUGGUGGUGAUUUACUACAAUUGGAUUAACAGCAUUUUCAAAUGUACACUCACUGGAAGCAAAUUCACUAAUAUCAAAAGAAGACAUGAAUUAGUUGCAAUGCCUUAUGGUUGUGCUUCCAAGCAGAAAAGACAGCUGCUGUCCCUUGCUGCAUUUUGGAUUCCAUGUGACAAGCAAUGGCUCAGUCUUUCAAGGGGAAAACUCUGAGGAGGCUUUUGUCUUGUCUCCGGGACUAUCUCCUGAGAGGCAGUCCUGUCAGCCAGGAGUCAAAUAAAUUCAGGCUUCGAGACUCAGAGGAGGAGAUGAGCUGUGCAUUUGCUCUCUUGGCAUGCAUCCUGGGGUCCCUGUGAAGAUCCUUCUCCUUAAGACAAAUUAUGGGCCCCUAAGAACUUUCACUAAAGGAAACAUUACUCAUGCAAAUUAAAUAGUGCAUUCUAGAUGGGGUGAGAGGUCUCUAUUACUAGUAUUUUGUUUUUUUAAUUUAGGAACUUAGGCCUUGAGUUUUCAGUGAAGCUCUGUGCUAUUUAUAGACCAUAGAGCUGGAAUAUUAGACACUAUGCAUUUGUCUACCUUUUGCAUUCCAAUGCUUUGUAAUCACGGUUUAGGUCUUUGUAAUCCUUGCCUGCUGGUAUAAAUAAGAGAGACAGACAUUGUUAUGAGAUUGUGAAACAAAAACCCUGUUGCAUUAAAGUUUGUAAGACAUAUUCAACCAUGUCUA